AGGUGAAGAUGAGAGUCCAUCCAUUUCACAUCAAACUCAAGUUAGUCUCCAAUCUCUAGCAGGUACACAUUAACCAUGUAAGCAGAAACUCAUCUAAACAAGCCUGAAACUGGCUCUUGGAAAAGGAGAAAAAUAUCACCUUCUUAAGGUAUUAAGCUUUUUGCAUUAUCAGAUGGCCAAGCCAUGACGAGGCUUUAGAAGGAGAACAAGAUUUCCCUGGGUCAUUUUCUUCAAGGCUGGAAAAUGAGGUGAGGCAAGAUGUGUAGGUGAAGAUGAGAGUCCAUCCAUUUCACAUCAAAUUCAAGUUAGUCUCCAAUCUCUAGCAGGUACACAUUAACCAUGUAAGCAGAAACUCAUCUAAACAAGCCUGAAACUGGCUCUUGGAAAAGGAGAAAAAUAUUACCUUCUUAAGGCAUUAAGCUUUUUGCAUUAUCAGAUAGCUAAGCCAUGACAAGGCUUUAAACUUUCACUCCUAUAUGUAGCACAAAACUGGAGCAGCAAUUGAGGGAGAAGUCAUUUGAUUUAUUUAAUUUUUAUUCUCUCUUAUUCCUCGCCUGCUAGUAUUAUAGAAACAAGCUUCUGUAGUCCCAGUCUGUAACCUUUCUAACUGGACCCUAUUGAUGAAAAAAGAAAACAAAAUGUAACUGGACUCAUUUACAUAGAAAGCCAUAUUUUUUGCAAAUCAUAUAUGGUAAGUAUUUCAAAUUUAAAUUUUGAUUCAACUGAAGUUAUCAACUAUUUCCUAAAUCCUAAGAACAUUAUUAGUUGUCAUGCUAGAUUGGUCUCUAAAUCAGCCACACAAGAUAUUAAUUAGAGUAAACCAAUCUAGGAAGAUUAUUAUGUUUUGACCAAAUUGCCUUCAGCUGGGUUCUAGUCUUCUGCAAUCAGGCUAAGCCUGGGUUCAAAAUUGGUGGGUUAAAGCAGGGGGAUCAAAUAGUUUUAUCUCAUUAAUUAUAAAUAAGUUUCAAGAAAAAAUAGAAUUAUUUAAAAAGCCGCAUAAACUCAUUUGGAGACCAAACAGGGCCUAGUUUCCUCUCUGCUGUCCCUUCUCCACAGCGAAUCUUAACCGGUUACACUGACAUUAUAACCGGGUACUCCGGAUUUCACGUAGACCCGAAAAGCCAGGCCGGAGCCGGUUCAGAUCGGUCCACAAAGUUGAACCCGGCCUCAGUAUGUCGGCAAUCGGCUGGCCGACUUAACCCUGUAAAUAGCCAACCUGGGUUCUCCAAUCUCUACGUUCGCACCUUUUCUCCAUGGCUUCUUCCCCUUCGAUCAAAACCCUCAAAACCGUAACGCUCGGAGGAUUCUUGGAUCAAAAUCGGGGAGGCAGCGGCAGAGGCUGCCGGUGUACGACUGUCGACCACCCAAGUACCACAGGGUCUUGAAGGUGUUGGGCUAAUGGUGGUCAAGUUUAUAGCUUUCGCCCAGCCAAUUUGAUUGGCUGUUAAGUCUGUUUCCUCACUACUAACUGAAUAGAUGGGUAUCAAACUUGGUGAAAGGGUUGGAUAUAGCACUAUUCAUUUGCAACAUCAAACAGAUCUGGUAUGGCCUCUUUCCUUUUCUGGCCAUUGGAAUCUUUAGUUGAAUAUUGCUUGAAAUUCAGCAGCAUCUAGGUUGUAUUAUUAUUAGACUAUUCUAAUGGACACAAGGUUGUUAGCUUUCUUGUUCACUUGGGGUAUGGUUGACGAGGAAUUUUCUCCUAGUUUGCUUUUCUCUCUCCAUAUGUAUUAUUGCUAUGUGAGCAACAUCAUAUUUCUAACUGAUGGGUUGUUGCUUUGAGAAAUGAUGGAUGAUCGUCUUCCGAUCGGCUAUAGGUAUUUGUUACAAUUCAAAUAUGAUGCUUUCCUUUCUCAUAUAUUGUUUAGUUGGCGAAGUGAGAAAUGCAUUAUUCUGAAUCUUUCUUAAUUAUCUCUAUUAAUCAUGUAUAAAAUUCAUGACCAAACUAGACUCAUCCUAACUACCAUGGUGGCUCUAUGAGUUCUUCUUCACCCAUACUUUUAAGGGACUGCAUACACUGUCAAUGCCAGUCUCUCUGUCCUUUAAUGUAAAAACUGAGCCACAUGCCCUUGGUAUUCAUUUCUCAUUCGGAUGCAUUUUUACUCACUGUAGCUCCGCAUUUUCCUUAAUUGUCACGUCACCUUUACAAAUGCAUCAUGUCUAACACCUUACGUCAGCACGUCGCUACAUAUUGUACUUACCAUUUUACAAUUUUUGGUGCUCAUCUUCUGUGCUUGUCUCUUAUUCGUAGCCUAACAUUUUGAUGCAUACAACAAUUUGGUUCUUACUACUGCAUUGGUGUUUUUUUUGGAACAAAUCUCAAAGGCAUAGAAUGGUGAUAUAACACUAUGGGCAUCUUGAAUGUUGCUCUUUUAUUUGCUAGAUGAGCUAAGUAAUUGUAGAAGUUUAUCAUGCUAGCAACACCAUGAUUUGGUAGAUUUUCUUUGCAGAAUGUCUCUUGAUUUCACCUUUUCAAGCAUAUGAACUACUCUUUUGUUUGGCAUCAGAAACUACUCCUUCCUUUUCUUGGUUUUGGACGGUUUUGAGCAAUUUGUUCAUUAAUCCUUUAUCUGUUUUUUAUGUUGUCUUGUAUUGGUGUCACAAUGGUACGAUGAGGUUCAUGAAAGAUCUAUUUCAACAGACAUGCUAGCUGGCCUCUUGAGAAUGGGUGAUUGGGAGGCCUUCAGAAUUUGCAUGUACUAGAAGAAGGCAGUCCUGUGUUGGAGAUUAUGAAUUAUGAGCUCAAAAUGGAAGGAAAAGACGAUAUGUACAGAGACUCACUUUAUACAAAAAACUGAAAAGGACCUUUUUGGUACGAAUUCAGCUCCAAAUAGCUUUAACAAUGUGAGAAGGAAUAAGUAUCUGUUUCAAGGAAUUAUUCAAAUAUGCUGGUUAAAAUUAUUCAGGAACCAAAGAUGCCAUAAUGUCACUCAUCAGAUGCAACUGCUGACCCUGCUGACGGUGUUGCAAGAUUGUCGAAAGGAGUCAUGUUUCCGACCACUGAUAACUAUUUAAUUGUUUGACUGCCGCCGGUGCUGUCAAACGACCAUAUCAUGAAACCAUGAGUAAAUGGUCUUCUUCCCUUGUAAUCUCACUUUGUAUCUAGUAAAUUGUUUAUUGUUGCUAGAUGAGACAGACUAGAUCUUGGUGAUUAGUUGCUGGAAAAAUUUAUGGUACUAUUAGGAUAUCGUAGAUUUGAUAUUUAGAUCUGGUCUUGUUAUAGGUCAAGGUAAAGAAUCUGCUUCCAGGUGCAGCGUGCAAACCCUUUUGAGUGCGAAAGAACAUGGGAAAUUAAAUGAUCCUCUAGUACUUGUGCCCAUUAUAUGAGAGUUACUAUUCAAUGGUUGAACGUAUUCCGCAGAUAAAGUCUGAAUCAUAGUGUGUCUGGAUCAGUUACCUUGUGCCCAUUAUAUGAGAGUUAUUAUUCAAUGAUCCUGUAUCAGUUACCGUGUCUAUAUGGUUGGUGCGGCAAGUAAAAGACUUCUCAGGGGUACGUGAUGGUAUCAGUUCAGCAUUGUUGUGCAAUGCUCUUCAUUAGUUGUAGAUGUGCAAUAACUAUUUGUAUCGAUGAUACUAUAUGGUUCCAACUUUGUUGCUUUUAACGCGCACAUUAGCAUCUCUGCAUGAUAAAAAGACUGCCCUAGACAGCAACAGAUAUUCAUGCCAGGUGCGUUAGUGCUUCACAAUAUAUUCAAAUUCUGGAAGCGUUGUAUUUAUGUAAUACAAAGUGAUCAAUGUAUCACACAGGAGGAGAGGUAAGAAAUAAGCAGCCCUUCGUUUCUUCAUAUGUAACACGUUGGAUCUCAUGGAAUUUUAGAUUCUUUUAAUAGGUGAUAAUGAGCACCUGGCAUAUUUGUAA